CCUACGGGUGGCAGCAGUGAGGAAUAUUGGUCAAUGGACGCAAGUCUGAACCAGCCAUGCCGCGUGCAGGAAGACGGCCCUAUGAGUUGUAAACUGCUUUUGUACGAGAGUAAACGCAGAUACGCGUACCUGUCUGAAAGUAUCGUACGAAUAAGGAUCGGCUAACUCCGUGCCAGCAGCCGCGGUAAUACGGAGGGUUCAAGCGUUAUCCGGGAUUAUUGGGUUUAAAGGGUGCGUAGGCGGUCGGUUAAGUUAGAUGUGAAAUCUUGAGGCUCAACUUCGGAAUUGCCUGUGAUACUGUUCGGCUAGAGAGUAGUUGAGGUAGGCGGAAUGUGUGGUGUAGCGGUGAAAUGCUUAGAGAUCAUACAGAACCCCGAUUGCGAAGGCAGCUUACCAAGCUACUUCUGACGUUGAGGCACGAAAGCGUGGGGAGCAAACAGGAUUAGAUACCCUAGUAGUC
rnacentral:rRNA from 1 species